rnacentral:rRNA from 1 species
CCUACGGGUGGCAGCAGUGAGGAAUAUUGGUCAAUGGGCGCGAGCCUGAACCAGCCAAGUAGCGUGAAGGAUGACUGCCCUACGGGUUGUAAGCUUCUUUUAUAAAGGAAUUAAGUGAGGCACGUGUGCCUUUUUGUACGGACUUUAUGAUUAAGGAAGGGCUAACUCCGUGUCAGCAGCCGCGGUAAUACGGAGGUUCCGAGCGUUAUCCGGAUUUAGUGGGCUUAAAGGGAGCGUAGGUGGGUUGGUAAGACAGUGGUGAAAGUUUGCGGCUCAACCGUAGAAUUGCCAUUAUGACUAGCAAUCUUGAGUACAGGUGAGGUAGGCGGAAUACGUGGUGUAGAGGUGAAAUGCUUAGAUAUCGCGUAGAACACCGAUUGCGAAGGCAGCUAUCUGAACUGUCACUGACGCUGAUGCUCGAAAGUAUGGGGAUCAAACAGGAUUAGAUACCCGUGUAGUC